CACAAUCAUCCACCGGCCCCAGACUGACUUAUCAAAGCAGAAACCAAGAUGGCAAAGCAUAGCCAUACUUGGACAGCAGUACCAUCAACUCUGGCAACAAAAAUAUGCAGACCAUGUGCUGACACGCUUCUGGGCCCUGGGGAGAGAUCAGUGAGCAAGAGAGAUGAAGUCGCUACUGGAUGAGUCAGACUUGGCUUAACAGGCCAGCUUCAGAAAAUGUCACUAUGGAGGGGAGCAAACGUGGCAGAGUCUCAAGACGGCAGAUAGGACAGGUAAGUUCCAGUGGGAUUGACAG
rnacentral:lncRNA from 1 species